ACAGAACUGGCCCGUGGUGGCUGUGGUGCGGAGGGCUGGGCUGGGUGCUGGUACCAGGUGUGGAUGAGGGGUGUCUUCUGGCCUCUGUCACCACCCUUGACACCUGCAGCUCUGACAGGGGAGCAGAGACUGGAGUCAUGGAGGAACCUCCAAAGGCCGAGAACUUGGAGCCAGAUUUCUGCCUGAGACUCUUUUCCAUGAGUGAGAAGUGCAGGCAACAGGGGAAAUGUCGGGUCUAGGAUCGGGGAGAGGAGUUGAGACGCAAGCUCUAGGAGCAGGAAUGUCCCUACAGAUGGCUGGGUCCUGCGAGCAGGGUUUGGGCUGAGCCACUUGUGCCAGGGGAGGGGCCGAGCUGUCACUUGUGCCCAUGGCUUUGGCAUAAGCCCUCAUUUUAGUUUCCUGGCCUUGGUAGGGGACAGUGCUCCAGUGUGGCCCCCACCACCUACCUGAGUUCUUUGCCCAGCUCUGCCUCUGUCUUGCUGUGUGGCCUUGAGCAAAUCACUACCCCUCUCUGAGACUCAGCUUUCUCAUCCGUAAUAUGAGGACAAUAAAGCUGCCCUGCCUACCUCCCACUGUGGCUGCCGUGUCAGGGGCGUGGAAGAGCUUGGCACCAGUGAGGUGCCACACCCCAAGAUCUGGUGUCUGCCCUGCACUGUGAGGCUACAUCUGCAGCCUAAGUCUGGACUCUUCUCUCCUACCGCAGGCUCUGCCCCUUGCUCUGCCUCACCUCAGAGCCACAUGGUGUGUCUGGAGGGAGUUGGCUGCAGAGUUCAGAGGAAGCAAGGAGGCCCCCCCCCGCCCCCCCAAGGGCUUGAGCCCUAAUUCCUAAUCUUUGAGCAACCGCUAACCUGAGGAAACAAUGUGUCUAAACCAUUGCUUCUAGGGGAAACAACGACUCCAAAACAUUGCUUUUUGGCAAGUAUGAAACUCAGGGUAACCACGCUGUGAAUCUUCUGUUACCCAAGGAGAGAAGCAAGAUCUGACCUGGCCAUAGGCCAGAGAGUUCCCAAACCCCGCCUCCCUUCCAGCACCUGCCGGCUCAGAGGGAGCUGAGAAGAGGCAGGGCCUUCACUCCUGCAGGAGGCUUUAGGGUAGACUUAAGGAAGGACUUUCGAGUGAGAGUGAGUCAGAGUGAGCUUUUUGAUGCCCUGCCUGGCGCCUCAAAAUAGAGGAUGGCACUAGGAUGCUGGUGUUUUGGGCUGGAGGCAGGACCCCUCUGAAGCCUCCUGCUAGCCUCUGUUCCCUCCUGAGACCUCUCCCUGCUGAUGCGUGCAUGUCCUCUGUGGGGCCAGGUUCCUCAGGCUCACGGGGCACAGUGCUGCCCAGGCAGUUAAGAGCCCUUGGGGCUGCCAGUGGCUGAGGACAGAGACGUCCGAGAAAUCUUGAGGGAUAGAGGUGGUGUCAAGGGUAAACAUAACCCUUAAGGGGAAGAAGGCAGAGAUGUGCAUGGACAGGGCCUCACCCCCUGAGCACGUAGCUGGAGGAGCUGAAAGGGUCAGGUUUUGAAGUUUCCUUCCUGGCCCUGAAGACCCAGAGGAGAGCCCCUCUGUCUUGCGUUUUGUCCCACCCCCCACUCUCUCUGGGCACCUGGGCACCCAUAGCUGAGCAGCAAGCCUGUCUCUCAUUCCCAUGCCCCACCCAGCACUAGGAACCCUCCUGCUACAGAACAGGAUCUUCCAGAUGCCAGCCCGGUCUGUCAGCACCGGGCUGCCCAGCCUGCUGGGAGCCAGGGAGGAGGGUUGGCACCCCUGGGUGGCAGGCCUAGGCUGGCUGUCCAGAGGGCUGCCCUUUGGUCCCUGUGGCCCAGACACUCCCUAUGGGGCCCUGCAGCUCAGUGGAGUGUCCGAUGGGUCCUCCUUUCCAUCGCUGCCACCCAGAAGGUCUCCUCUGGCCCUGGCAGCUGGCUGAUGACCUCUAGCACAGGCCCCAGCCCUUGGGGUGGAAGGCCCUCCCCCUACUCUGUACUCACAGCCCCACUGUGGCCAGAUCACUGCAGCACCCCCACUCCUCUCCUCCAG